rnacentral:rRNA from 1 species
GAGUUUGAUCAUGGCUCAGAGUGAACGCUGGCGGCAGGCCUAACACAUGCAAGUCGAACGGCAGCACAGCAGUAGCAAUACUGUGGGUGGCGAGUGGCGGACGGGUGAGGAAUGCAUCGGAAUCUGCCUAUUUGUGGGGGAUAACGUAGGGAAACUUACGCUAAUACCGCAUACGUCCUACGGGAGAAAGUGGGGGACCGCAAGGCCUCACGCAGAUAGAUGAGCCGAUGCCGGAUUAGCUAGUUGGCGGGGUAAAGGCCCACCAAGGCGACGAUCCGUAGCUGGUCUGAGAGGAUGAUCAGCCACACUGGAACUGAGACACGGUCCAGACUCCUACGGGAGGCAGCAGUGGGGAAUAUUGGACAAUGGGCGCAAGCCUGAUCCAGCCAUGCCGCGUGUGUGAAGAAGGCCUUCGG